AAAAAAAGAAAGAAUGUUGUCUUCCCUCGCCAUGUGAUUCCAAUGUCUGGAGUCAAAAAUAUUAAACAAUCCUUGCUUUAAAGUUUGAUCCAGUUUGCACAAUUGGGUGAAAAAUAACUUUUGGAUCAAAAAGUGUUUCAUCAAAAUUUAUUUAGAGGGCAAUAUUUUGGAUAAGUUACUGAACUAAAGGAUCCAAAAGGAAUAAAGAUUUGGAAAAAGUGAUUCAACCAAGUUUUGAAAAAUUUGACCAUAAUUUCUCUUCUGAAAAAGUUUAUUUGUAAUUAUGUUGUUAUUUAACUUGUAAUUAGUGUAAAAUAAACCUUUUUGAUGUUUUAACUUCUUUGUUUUCAUUGUUGACACUUCUGGAUAUUGUCUCUUCUUAUUUCUUAUGUAGACAUGCUCACAUAUUGUUUUGGUAAUAAUUUUUGAGCUAAAAUUCUUUCUCUCGAUAAAAUUGUUUUCGAGAUGCUUACCUUUAAUGGAUACUUAUGGUGUUUAAAAAUUAAUUUAUCCACAAGUUUAUGCUAGCUAGUAAAAAAUGCAGUCUAUUUUUGAAGUCGACUGCACAAGUUUUUAAUUUAUGUAUAAUUUAAUUAAUUUAUAACUUUUUAAAUAUGAAGUAUAAAUAUGUUUUUUAAUAAUUUAUAUAACUUUUUUGAAUGUUCUAUGUUCUUUGAAUGAACGAGGUUAGCAAACAAGUAAAGGCAAUGGACGAACCAUUAAAAAAACACUAGUUGCCAAUAUUGGUAACAUGUGUUUUAGCGAUGAAACAAAUUAUUGUGUAUGUAAGCAUUUUACAUAAAAUAUUAAGUGUUGUAUUUUACUAUAAUCCAUA